rnacentral:rRNA from 1 species
CGCUGGCGGCGUGCCUAACACAUGCAAGUCGAGCGAGAAAGUUCCUUCGGGAGACGAGUACAGCGGCGGACGGGUGAGUAACACGUGAACAACCUACCUUGAGACAGGAUAACAGCGGGAAACCGUUGCUAAUACCUGAUAUGAUCAUAGUAUCGCAUGAUAUUGUGAGGAAAGGAUUUAUUGCUCAAGGAUGGGUUCGCGUCCCAUUAGCUAGUUGGUGGGGUAAAGGCCUACCAAGGCGACGAUGGGUAGCCGGCCUGAGAGGGUGUCCGGCCACACUGGAACUGAGACACGGUCCAGACUCCUACGGGAGGCAGCAGUGGGGAAUUUUGCGCAAUGGGGGAAACCCUGAACCGCAGCGACGCCGCGUGAGCGAAGAAGGUUUUCGGAUCGUAAAGCUCUGUCACAGGGGAAGAUAAUGACGGUACCCUGGGAGGAAGCCCCGGCUAACUACGUGCCAGCAGCGGC